rnacentral:rRNA from 1 species
AAUGGCCGCAGUAUAUUAACUGUGCAAAGGUAGCAUAAUCAUUAGUCUUUUAAUUGAAGGCUGGUAUGAAUGGUUGGACGAGAUAUUAACUGUUUCAAAUGAAAUUAUUUUAGAAUUUUAUUUUUUAGUCAAAAAGCUAAAAUUUAAUUAAAAGACGAGAAGACCCUAUAAAUCUUGAUAAUUUAGGUUAUUUUAAUUGUAAAGAAUAAUUAUAUUUAGAUAAAUUAAAUUAUUUUAUUGGGGUGAUAUUAAAAUUUGAUAAACUUUUAAUUUGUUAAAUCAUUAAUUUAUGAAUAUUUGAUCCAAUUUUAUUGAUUAAAAAUUUAAGUUACUUUAGGGAUAACAGCGUAAUUUUUUUGGAGAGUUCAUAUCGAUAAAAAAGAUUGCGACCUCGAUGUUGGAUUAAGAGAUAUUUUUAGGUGUAGCCGCUUAAACGUGAAGUCUGUUCGACUUUUAAAUUCUUACGUGAUCUG